AGAUCGGUACAGUGGCUUUGGC
rnacentral:miRNA from 3 species